rnacentral:lncRNA from 1 species
AUAGUUGUUAAUUAAUUUAUGAAUUUAUAGUUAUUUAGCACUAUUCAUGAUUAAUUAAUUAAUUAAUUAUUUUAAUUAUUAGUUAAUUAAUAUUUUGAUAUUAAUUAUUAGAUAAAUUAUUACUAUUUUAAACUACUAUUAUAUUAAACUAUAACUACUUUUAUUUUUACAAUUUCAUCAAACUACCCAAAUCCUUUUUUUCUUGUCCUUGAAAAUAAUCCAAUUUUAUUCUAACAUAAAAUUGGUUUUGAAAUAACCAAGAACAUUUUAUUUUCAAAC